rnacentral:misc_RNA from 1 species
AGAGUAGGCAGUCUAUACAUCAAACCUUCACAGAGAUACAAAUAUUAGACAGCAACCUUCUAGGAUUCCAUCAAAUGGGACUAGUUAUUCAACCUUCAAUGCAAAUGAAUCGACAUGAGGUAAAGGGAUUAUUCCUCUUUUUUCUUUUGGGACGGAUAUAGACCUAGACACAGUCCUGUUCAUUUAUAAACAUAGUGAAGAGACAUAAAAGCUCAAUGCCGAGGAACAUGAUAGCCUGAUGUCAGUUUUGUUAGUACCAUGCUGUA